CAGGCUAUUCGGCAAGACACUGCUGCCAUGGCAGGGAACAAACAAAAAGAAAGACAAAAUAUUGAGCAAACAGAUUUUCAGUCUAACAAUAAUAUUGGCGACGCGAAAAAUGUUUACUUAUUAGAGGACAAAAUUAUACCACCUAUGUCAGAGGUGAUAGCACUGGCAAAAAUUACAGGUAUUCGACAAAAAAAUCUAAUAGGAAUAAUAGAAUCCGAAUCUCUUAGUAUACCAGGUUUAACCACUAUGGAUGUAUUGGUUAGGACAAAAUCACGUGGCAAAGUACCCGUUAGAAUAAUGAACGUCACAAC
rnacentral:lncRNA from 1 species